rnacentral:rRNA from 1 species
GACGAACGCUGGCGGCGUGCUUAACACAUGCAAGUCGAACGGGCCUUGUCCCCUUUUUUUUGGGGGUGGGGUUAGUGGCGAACGGGUGAGUAACACGUGAGUAACCUGCCCCUCACUUCUGGAUAACCGCUUGAAAGGGUGGCUAAUACGGGGUGUUCUGGCCUGCUCGCAUGGGUGGGUUUGGAAAGAUUCGACCGGUUUUGGUUGUUUUGGUGGGGGAUGGGCUCGCGGCCUAUCAGCUUGUUGGUGGGGUGAUGGCCUGCCAAGGCUUUGACGGGUAGCCGGCCUGAGAGGGUGGGCGGUCACACUGGGACUGAGACACGGCCCAGACUCCUACGGGAGGCAGCAGUGGGGAAUAUUGCACAAUGGGCGCAAGCCUGAUGCAGCGACGCCGCGUGAGGGAUGGAGGACUUCGGGUUGUGAACCUCUUUCGCCAGUGAAGAAGGUCCUGCUCUUUGUGGUGGGGUUGACGGUAGCUGGGUUAAUGAAGCGCCGGCUAACUACGUG